UUAUAUGGUCAAGUGAAUAAGCGUACAUGGCGGAUGCCUUGGCGAUUACAGGCGAUGAAGGACGUGGAAGUCUGCGAAAAGUUUCGGGGAGCUGGCAAUCAAGCUUUGAUCCGGAAAUGUCCGAAUGGGGAAACCCGCACAGGCUUAAAACCCUGUCAUCCACAGCUGAAUAAAAUAGGCUGCUGGAAGCGAACCUGGUGAACUGAAACAUCUAAGUAACCAGAGGAAAAGAAAUCAAUUGAGAUUCCCGCAGUAGUGGCGAGCGACCCGGGAGUAGCCGAUAUAUGAUAGCUGUUUAUAUAGAAGAACCAUAUGGAAAGAUGGACCGUAGAGGGUGAUAGUCCCGUAUUCGAAAUGUAGACAGUGGUACUAGGUAUAUCAACAAGUAGGGCGGGACACGAGAAAUCCUGUCUGAACAUGGGGGGACCAUCCUCCAAGGCUAAAUACUCGUAAUCGACCGAUAGUGAACAAGUACCGUGAGGGAAAGGUGAAAAGAACCCCUGUGAGGGGAGUGAAAUAGAAUCUGAAACCGUGUACGUACAAGCAGUGGGAGCCCUUUUUAGGGUGACUGCGUACCUUUUGUAUAAUGGGUCAACGACUUACAUUCUGUGGCAAGCUUAACCGAAUAGGGUAGGCGUAGGGAAACCGAGUCUUAAUAGGGCGACCAGUCGCAGGGUGUAGACCCGAAACCAGGCGAUCUACCCAUGGCCAGGCUGAAAGUUAGGUAACACUGACUGGAGGGCCGAACCCACAUCUGUUGCAAUAGAUGGGGAUGAGCUGUGGGUCGGAGUGAAAGGCUAAUCAAGCUUGGAGAUAGCUGGUUCUCCCCGAAAGCUAUUUAGGUAGCGCCUCAUGUAAUUUACUUCCGGGGGUAGAGCACUGUUUCGGCUAGGGGGUCAUCCCGACUUACCAACCCGAUGCAAACUCCGAAUACCGGAAAGUAUUAUCAUGGGAGACACACAGUGGGUGCUAACAUCCAUUGUGGAGAGGGAAACAACCCAGACCGCCAGCUAAGGUCCCAAAAUUAUCGCUCAGUGGUAAACGAUGUGGGAAGGCAUAGACAGCUAGGAUGUUGGCUUAGAAGCAGCCAUCAUUUAAAGAAAGCGUAAUAGCUCACUAGUCGAGUCGGCCUGCGCGGAAGAUUUAGCGGGGCUCAAGCGAUAUACCGAAGCUGCGGAUGUGUAUUAUAGAAUAUAUGUGGUAGGGGAGCGUUCUGUAAGCCUGUGAAGAUGGACUCGUAAGAGCCGUUGGAGGUAUCAGAAGUGCGAAUGUUGACAUAAGUAACGUUAAUGCGAGUGAAAGACUCGCACGCCGAAAGACCAAGGUUUCCUGUUCAACGUUAAUCGGAGCAGGGUGAGUCGGCCCCUAAGACGAGGCAGAGAUGCGUAGUCGAUGGGAAUCAGGUUAAUAUUCCUGAACUCUCGUAUCAUGCGAUGGAGGGACGGAGAAAGCUAGACCAGCUGGUGAUUGGUAUGCCAGUGUAAGCAGGUAGGUAGAGAUCUUAGGCAAAUCCGGGAUCUUAAUACUGAGACGUGAAUGCGAGGAGCUUACGAGCUCCGGAGUGGUUGAUGCUAUGCUUCCAAGAAAAGCUUCUAAGCAAUAGUGAUAUGAGAACCGUACCCCAAACCGACACUGGUGGUUGGGAUGAGAAUUCUAAGGCGCUUGAGAGAACUCGGGUGAAGGAACUCGGCAAAAUCGUACCGUAACUUCGGGAGAAGGUACACCUUCCUAGGUGAAUGCUUUACGCAGUAAGCUAAGGAAGGUCGCAGUGAAAAGCUGGCUGCAACUGUUUAUCAAAAACACAGGACUCUGCAAACACGAAAGUGGACGUAUAGGGUCUGACGCCUGCCCGGUGCUGGAAGGUUAAUUGAUGGGGUUAGCGUAAGCGAAGCUCUUGAUCGAAGCCCCAGUAAACGGCGGCCGUAACUAUAACGGUCCUAAGGUAGCGAAAUUCCUUGUCGGGUAAGUUCCGACCUGCACGAAUGGCGCAAUGACGGCCAGGCUGUCUCCACCCGAGACUCAGUGAAAUUGAAAUCGCCGUGAAGAUGCGGUGUACCCGCGGCAAGACGGAAAGACCCCGUGAACCUUUACUAUAGCUUUACAGUGGAUUUUGAAUCUUUUUGUGCAGGAUAGGUGGGAGGCUUAGAAGCAGCGACGCUAGUUGUUGUGGAGCCAUCCUUGAAAUACCACCCUGAAAGAUUUGGAAUUCUAACUUAGGCCCAUCAUCUGGGCUAAGGACAUUGUAUGGUGGGUAGUUUGACUGGGGCGGUCUCCUCCGAAAGAGUAACGGAGGAGUACGAAGGUACCCUCAGCCCGGUCGGAAAUCGGGCUUAUGAGUGCAAAAGCAAAAGGGUGCUUGACUGCGAGACAGACACGUCGAGCAGGUACGAAAGUAGGUUUUAGUGAUCCGGUGGUUCUGUAUGGAAAGGCCAUCGCUCAACGGAUAAAAGGUACUCCGGGGAUAACAGGCUGAUUCCGCCCAAGAGUUCAUAUCGACGGCGGAGUUUGGCACCUCGAUGUCGACUCAUCACAUCCUGGGGCUGUAGUCGGUCCCAAGGGUAUGGCUGUUCGCCAUUUAAAGUGGUACGCGAGUUGGGUUCAGAACGUCGUGAGACAGUUCGGUCCCUAUCUGCCGUGGGCGUUGGAAAUUUGAGAGGAGCUGCUUCUAGUACGAGAGGACCGAAGUGGACGUAUCUCUGGUGUUCCGGUUGUCAUGCCAAUGGCAUAGCCGGGUAGCUACAUACGGACGGGAUAACCGCUGAAAGCAUCUAAGCGGGAAGCCUUCCUCAAGAUAAGAUUUCCCUAGGGGUUUAACCCCUCUGAAGGUCCGUCGAAGACUACGACGUUGAUAGGUUGGGUGUGUAAGUGCAGUAAUGCAUUGAGCUUACCAAUACUAAUUGACCGUGAGGCUUGACCAUAUAAUAG
rnacentral:rRNA from 1 species